AUCUGUAAAAUUUUUAAGUUAUCAAAAAUUAACUCCCCUCGGUGACUUUUGGCCCACCCCUAUACAUAUGUCCAAGUACAUAUACACAUGUACAUAUGGUACAUUGUCAUAUGUAGGGCUGAGCAACAAUUUGAGUUUCCUGCUUUGGGUGAUUUUCUGUUGUUCUGCUUGCAAACAACAGCUACUAUGUACAUCAAGGGGCUAGUUUACCAAUGCAUGGUCAAUCUUGCCAAUUGAGUGACUUUAUCGAUUCCUUGAUUAAUUCCUAGUUUGUAUUUCUAUUACAUUUAUCAAAAAAGCUACUAGUAGCGACCCUAAUCCCUGUACUUUCAAGCCACCUAUAUUUUAAUGAGGUUGCCUUGUUUUGCUCGUUCUGAAGCCUCAUUUUAUCUACUGUACUUGGUGAUUUUUUUUUACUCAUUCAAAUUUGGGAGUCAUUGACAACACGAUUCUCUAUGGUGUGUCAGAUUUACCUAUUCAUUUUUGCAUUAAAGACUAACCCAAAAGAUCUUGCAAAUAUUACUGUCGAAUUUCACUGAUAUUCAUUGAGAUUUUUGACUCUCUACAGAAAUGUUUUUACGGUGUAAGGAGCAGAACUUUAGUGCAUCCUAUUCAUACUUGAAAAACUAAUUUAGUAGGCUAAAAUUGGGCCCAUGCAUAAGAAUUUACUUCUUGAUUUUGUAAUACUUCACACUCAAUAGUUUAGUACAAACACACUCAUUCCUAGGUAGAGUUUGGAGCACUCCAUAAUUUGCAUAUGUAAAACAUGCAAUCUCAUAGUGUGUUACUUGUGCACAGGAAGACAAUGAGUUUGGACCUGGAGCAACAACGCGUGCUGUGCAGCGCUUGGAUUUCAGUAGGCAGAGGGAAUGCAGCAGUUAUCAGAGAUUGUUUCCCAUUGCUCUCCAUCCAUCUUCCCCUUUCCUCCUAUCUGCACUCCCCAUUCGCAGCCUUUCGACUUAACUUGCCAGCAUGCCUCAACUUCUCCCCUCCCUUCUUCUUUCGCAUAGAGACUGGACCAUUGGUCCUAACUUCAGAAGCUGUGGAAGAUGUGAGGGAGACAGAUUACAGGACAAGAGGAAGGAGGUGCACCGACUGGUGCCCAGGUGCAACUGCAAAGACUUGGAUCUUAACACCCAGUAAGCAAAAAUAAUAAUCGUGGACUAGCAUAGCUCCAUCGCGCUUCCCCACCCUCACAGACUCCUUUCUCUCCAUUGUGGAGUCCUUCCAUUCCUGGGCCCCAUCAUCACACGGGACCUCGAGUGACCAUUGGUUCCCUCAUUAAAAAGGCCUAAGAGAGGAUGUUCUCCAUCACAAUAUGCUCAACAAACUUGCCUCCAUCUCCUCUCCUCAGGCUGGAGCAUUCACUUUGCUACCACCACGCUGAGAAUUUUUUUUCCACAAGCUGUAAGACUGUUAAAGUCAAACACUGCUCUGCAGAACCGACAUCAGACCCCACCCUCAAUGAUUAUUCGCCUCUGUAUGUUGAACACUAUUUUCUUGAUCCCUGUUUUCUUUUUGUCAAAUACAGAGUUACCUUGUAAAUAUCA